CCAGCUCUCCUUGUCUUAUCUCCCUAACCUCACAUUAAUCAUUUGUGUGUAAUAUUCACUUACAUAACAAUGAAGCAUUUAAAACACCAACUGGAUUACAGAACCCCAGACCCAAAUCUCACCAUCAGUAGCUCUUACCUUUGGAGCCUGGAAUAACAAUGUGUGUGACAGAGCAGUUGCCUGGGAGCUAUGCCAUGUGUUCUUCCAACUGAAUUCAGUAACUGUGGAUAGUGUUCAACAAGGAGUAGACCCUUGGGGUGAAUCUUGCGGCACAGCAGCAUCACCUUGUCCCUUCUUAAAGUGAGUAAUCCAAGGGUGGGUGUCGUGGUGUAGUGGGUAAAACAGCUGCCUGUGAUGCUGGUUUCUCCUAUGGGCACCCAUUCCUGUUGCAGCUACUCCACAUAUGAUCCAGC